AGUAUGGGAUUUAACAGCCCAGUUACGGGACUCAGGAUUAGCUGCGCUGGCAUCUUUUGGGCAUAUUCUUCCUUUUAAUGAAUGAGCUUUCGCUGUUAAUGAGGAAUAAUCGUUUGGCUAAUGAGCUUUGAAACAUUAAGAGAAAAGAGGUUUUUUCCGUUAAUCGCUCUGGUGCGACUGCAUGGAUGGAUUACAAAAGACAGCAAUAGGAAUGCAGUACAAAGGGGGGGACCUCUCCUGGAGUGGGAGAAGCACCGAGAUGGGUGAUGUGUCCCUGCGUCUUUCCUUCAUUCUCUCUUUCGCUCUCUCUGCCAACUGCUAUGGGUUUCCAUAACUCCGCAAUCAAAGUGGAUGGUCGGGAAGGAUUAUUACAAAGAGUGAAGCCUCCGCUGUUAAUGUCUCCAGUGUUUAAUCAUCAUACAGUAGAAUGGUUUUAUGCAUAUUUCAUUUGCAUAUCAUUAAACUGUGUUAGCGAGGGGCAUUCAGAGCCAGGAGAAGUACAAAGUUGGGGAGAGAGGGAAGAAAAAAAGGUCCCUAUGAUGCUUAUCUUCAAACAGGGACUUGUUCCAUGAUCUGUCUUCUACUUUUGCUAAAAUCAUUAUGACUUGGAAACCUUUGAAGUUGGAUACAACCUUGGAUUCUUCUAAUUCCUGCAGAGCAGUGUAUUUUAAAAAACAGCAGAAAUGUUCCUGCACUAGACAAUUAAAGGAAUAUAAACUCCAGUGGGUUGAAACUAGUAGCUCUUUGGGGAAUGCAGUGGCAGAGGCUUCUACAAAUACCAACACUUAGAAAUAUAUAAUAAAGAGCAUCAUAUUAGAAACAAAGAAAACGAAGACAAGAAAUAUUAACACGUGGAUUAUAUUUGUUUCUUUUGGGGGGUAAUGAACUAAAGAGAAUGAAGAAGCCAUCGGGUGAAUUCAAUGGUCCACAGUAAUGGCUUCUGUCAAUAAUUACACCUUAUGCUGCUACUGUCUGCAGGAAUUGGCAUUAUGAGAAGUUAUAAAGAAGAAGAAAUUUGCUUCCCUAAAAGAGUUUAUAAUCUGGCUAUGGCCUUUGGCGAAGACAAUGACAGGCAAAUAUUUAUAAGCCAGAGAUUAGUUAUAAAUUUGAUCCAAUCAAAUGAUCAGUAAGCACAUUCUUAUUGCCAGUUGUUAUUAUCUCUUUAGGAAAGGCAUUGGAAACUUUCAUUUUGUUAAUUUCAAAUCAGACAAUUUCCCAGAACUAAUUGAGGUUCCAGUGUCCAAUGGAAAGCUGAAAGAACCUAAAUUUGCUUCUUUUCCUUCUUCACUCCUUUCUUUGUGUGUAUACAUAUUUGUGUAUGUGCACAAGUAUAAAGAAAUGAUUAUUUUUGCAGCUUUUGGCCUGAAUGCUUGUCACUCCAUUUUACAUAAUUCAUUUUAUAUAAUUCAAUUUAUGCUCUUCCAAAAAUAGAUGCUUCAGUUGCAAUCUUCGCCUCUUUAGAAUCUCCAUGCAAGCAAGCUUAGUUAAUAAUUUUUGAUUAAUAUAGCCAAAUACCAACUCCUACUUCAAACCCCCUUUACUUGGAAUACUAUCAUCAGCUUGGUUUACAGAGAGAAGGAAAUAACAAUGAGGUCAGGAGGAAUGGAGAUGGGGUAAAAUAGCAAUAAAAAGUAAUUAUAUAAAAAUGCUAAAGGUAUGACAUCUGUUUUUUUGCUUAGCUCACUGAGCUCGAUAGUUUCAGAUUUAUGCUAUUGUUCAUGUUUAAACAGAUACAAAAAAGGGAAAUGGGAAAGAAUGGUUAUGUGAGACUAUUAAAUAGUGCAGGGAAAAUACGAGUUGUUAUUACACUGGUAAGGAAAAGAGAAACUCAGUGAAAUUUCUUUCCAGAGAUUUGCCUUUGUGAUCUGCAAGGUGCUGUUCCCCUGCUUACAUUCCGUUACCCUGGCAACGCACUCCUGUAAAAUAAAGAUUAUUAAAGC
rnacentral:lncRNA from 1 species